rnacentral:lncRNA from 1 species
UAUAUAAACAAAAAUAAAAGUAGGUGAUUUUGUGUUUAAACAUCUUAUGUUUUGUACUAACACUAGUUGUGAUACAUUUCUCAAUUCCACCAUUCCCAACAUUGUUUGAUAUUCUGCGGUGCUUGGGCAAUUGGCUGGUUAACAGCAGUUCACUCACUGGCCAAUCAGAUUGAAGCACCACAGUAGAUUCAGCUAUUAGAAGCACAGCCUUCAGUUCUUCCUACAGAGAGCAGAAAGAAGGCUGAAUGCAGGCGCAGCCAUUUUCUCCUACAUUGGAACUCAAUGGCCAAAAUGGGUUUCCUUUGUUCCUAAAGGGAUCUAAAUCUUGAUUUCAUCAGCCUUUUAUGGACUAUUUAAUACAUACAGUGUUUCUGUUUACAGGAUCUGAGAAGAAGGAAGAUUAAAUGUUGGAUGAUAUCCCUUUGUUUGACAUUUUUUUAUUUUUUUUACUUUUUUCUCUUCCUGGAAACCAUCUUUGUCCCAGCAAACUAGACUGUAAAAAGAGAAAGGGAGAAAAAAAACAUGAAAAUUACCAACUGCUUUUAAGCCCCUGCCUUGUUUAGGGCCAAGCAUUAAUCAAUAACAAACAAGGCAGGCCAUAGAGUGUCAUAGUGUACAGAACAAUAAAUAUGACUCUAAACAUACAUAAUUAUUAAAUCACUAACAGAGAUAUUUACCUUAACAUUUUGUUGAAAUAAUUCUAUCAGGCCUAAACGAUGAGGAAACAGGGAGGUUUUCAUUCCCAUCUUCGGAUCCUUUAACACUGGCUUUAAAGAGGGGGUUGGGUUGCAACGCCUAAAAGGAAGAAAACGACAAUAACCAUGUUUCUGCCGUCGUUUUUCGACAUAAUUCACCAUUUAACACACCUAUCUGCGCAGUCUCCAACGAGUGGAGCUGCUGGAAAUCUUGAGGCACUUUUAGAUAUUGCAAUAUGCAAACAAUCCCUCUCUUUCUCUUCCUGAAGACAGAAUGACAAGAGAGAUCAACUCGCUCAUCAUCAUUCAGAAGAUAGAAAUAUUCCUUUUUCUUUUCAGAAGGUAAUAGUUCAGACGACCUUUUUUGAUUAAAAAAUAAAUAAAUUGCCUUAGGAAUAUUCUGUCUUUGUUUUAACAGGUAAUAAUAAAAUCAUACUUAUCUUUAAAAUUCAUUUUUAAAAAUACAAGUAUUGUUUUUCCAUUGGGAUUUAUUAUAAAUUGUCAAAAAAAUAUACAGAUAAAGACAAAAAAAAAAAAAAACAAUCAUUGUUAUAGACACCUCUCAUUGCUGACCCAUGUCCAAAGCGACCUCAGAAAUAGCCUGAUGUUUAAUGGCUUCUCUGUUGUUCUCUAUUUUUCAACAUGGACGUCUUCACAAGGACAUCACUGU